CCCCUUUAUUCUCCCGAUCGCAGAGCCUAUAUUCGAGUUGCCGGGCAACACCCGGCUAUGGCGAUAAACGUCAUGUGGAAUAAGCGUUGCGGACCCGGGGGCGGCACCCGGCGCCUCCACCAGUUCCAACUGUCCGCCGGUACCGGACGGGCAGACCUACGGGGGCGAAUCAGGAUCGACGCGCGUGGUAAAGACAUGAUUUUCGCCCGGCAUGGUACCGCCGUUAUCGGGCUGAUUUUACAAGUGCCAACGACAACCGUAUGGCUCUCGCUGCCUGACCAUGGGUAAGCGCGGUCCGGGGGGCGCCGGGCAACAGAAGCCCCCCACU
rnacentral:tmRNA from 1 species